GAUGAACGCUAGCUACAGGCUUAACACAUGCAAGUCGAGGGGCAGCAUGGUCUUAGCUUGCUAAGGCCGAUGGCGACCGGCGCACGGGUGAGUAACACGUAUCCAACCUGCCGUCUACUCUUGGACAGCCUUCUGAAAGGAAGAUUAAUACAAGAUGGCAUCAUGAGUUCACAUGUUCACAUGAUUAAAGGUAUUCCGGUAGACGAUGGGGAUGCGUUCCAUUAGAUAGUAGGCGGGGUAACGGCCCACCUAGUCUUCGAUGGAUAGGGGUUCUGAGAGGGAGGUCCCCCACAUUGGGACUGCGACACGGUCCAAACUCCUACGGGAGGCAGCAGUGAGGAAGAUUGGUCAAUGGGCGAGAGCCUGAACCAGCCAAGUAGCGUGAAGGAUGACUGCCCUAUGGGUUGUAAACUUCUUUUAUAAAGGAAUAAAGUCGGGUAUGUAUACCCGUUUGCAUGUACUUUAUGAAUAAGGAUCGGCUAACUCCGUG
rnacentral:rRNA from 1 species